rnacentral:tRNA from 2 species
UAUAUAGUGGCAGAGUAGUGCAUUAGGUUUAAGCCCUAAAAAUGAAUAAAUUCUUAUAUAA